AUGUUCUCUGUAGCUCUGCUGCUGCUGCUGGCUGCUGGAUCCUAUGUAUCAUGUGAAACUCUGACUCAGCCAGCCUCUUUAACUGUGCAGCCAGGUCAACGUCUGACCAUCAGAUGUCAGGUCUCUUAUGAUCUGGGCUACUGGACAGCUUGGAUCAGACAGGCUGCUGGGAAAGGAUUGGAAUGGAUUGGGGUGAAUGAUAGAGCUGGAAAUUUACGCUUAAAAGAUUCACUGAAGAACAAAUUCGGGAUUGAUGUAGACACCUCCAGUAGCACAGUGACUCUGAAUGGAGCGAAUAUGCAGCCCGAAGACUCUGCUGUGUAUUACUGUGCCAGAGUGACACAGUGA